GACGUAGGGGGCGAGCGUUGUCCGGAAUUACUGGGUGUAAAGAGCUCGUAGGCGGGAUUGUAAGUCUGAGGCUAAAUACCAUGGCUCAACUGUGGUGUGAUCUCAGAUACUGCAGUUCUUGAGGACAGGAGAGGAAAGUGGAAUUCCUGGUGUAGCGGUGAAAUGCGUAGAUAUCAGGAGGAACACCAGUGGCGAAGGCGGCUUUCUGGCCUGUUCCUGACGCUGAGGAGCGAAAGCUGGGGGAGCGAACGGGAUUAGAAACCCUAGUAGUCC
rnacentral:rRNA from 1 species